GUGGACAUAGUUUAUACUAAAAACAUCAGGCCGUGAACCUGAAAAUAGAAGCUAACCAC
rnacentral:tRNA from 1 species